rnacentral:misc_RNA from 1 species
GAAAAAUUGAAUAUUCGAGUGGAAACUUCAAAUAAGAGGGAGGACUACUAAUAUUGUUAAUCCAACAUUCACAACAACUAAACCUCAAUAACAAAUUAGUUUAGAUUCAACUACAUGAAUCUUUUUUUUUCUGUCAUUCAAUUUUAUUAGAUACAAAGUCUGCAUCAAUAUUAAAAACUCAUAACCUUCAAAUACUAUUUUCCUCCGCAUCAUUUCAGGCCUCCCAUACCCUUUCUCACUUACAUUCCCUAACUAAUUUAUCACCUCUUGGAUUUAUUUGCAUUUCCCUGGGUCUAUUUGCAUUUACAAAAUUUAUAAUCUGCUUCUCAUAGGAACCCAAUUUCUCCUUGAAACGUGGCGAAAUAUCAUGUUUUGAAACCUGUAAGAAUGCUAUUAUGCGCUCUAACAUGGUCUUGAACAUUUUUAUCUUCUCGAGAUCCACUGACUUGCGUUGUUGUUGAAGAGAAUCAUGCUGUUAAACAAAGAAUGAUACCCUUGUGAGCUUCAAUAAUUGCAUUAGAUCUUUGCAGCAAAAUUUUGCAAAUUUCUUCUGUUUUCUUGCUUAUUUGCAAGGAUUUUCUUCUUGUUCAUUGGAAGUGACCUUUUUUCGAGAGGGGAAUGAGAGAAAUGAGGUAAUAAGUGCAGAAGAUACACUGAUAGUCAACAUAAAGACAGGUAUUGCUAGAGUGAACCGCAUAUUAGCACAAGAUCACCAUUAUUACAAUAAAUGAACUGAAAAGUAGUAGUUUUCAAGUAAUGCAUAAGCAAUGAAUUGAGAACAAAAAAAUGUAGUGAGUUAAAUUACCUGCUGUAACUUUGUGGCAAGUUUCUGGUAAAUUACAUUUAGUUCGGGCAAGUACAUUUCCUUCAUGUCUUUGAUCUUUUGGUAGACUUCCUCUUGCCAAUCGCCUCCAUUUACAUGUCCAGUUUGUGCUGUCGAAUCAAGAGAUGCUACAAAAAUAAAACAUAUGCAUACACACAUUAUGUUGACUAAACCUUGCAUAUUUUGCAUAGACUCCACAAAGAAUCUUCAUAAAAAAAAAAGGAUUUACAGUUACAAGAACAACAAAAACAAAGAGAUCAAUUGGGACGCAUCCUGCAAGUUUAACUAAACAUGUACAGCAAUCAAAACCACUAGAAUGUAUAUGAUGAAACAUUGCUAAAAGGAAACUUUUUAAUAAAUCAAUUUUAGUAUGCUCAACAUUAAUUACUCCCAAAACAAAAAGCAAUGUAAUAAACAACAUUUGUAACACUUGUAACAUAAAAACCAUAAUAAAGAAAAUCUGUAAUGCAACAUAAAAACAAUAAUAAAGCAAACAAUGUCCCUAAGUGCCACAAAUAAUCACUUGCUCGAAAAGGAACCUCAAUUACUUUAACCAAGAAGAUACCUCAAAGAUAUUUAUCAAGAGGCGAUGUGGUUGACAAAAGGGUGACUCUAUGGCGCUAUCAGUCAUAAUAAUGAAAUUAAUAAGAUAAUAACUGAAUGUGUAAUAAAUUUGUCAAAGUCAAACUAAAGGAGAAGACAAGGCAUGUAAAUUGCACAUCUAUUUCUAUUACCCAUGACACACUUAAAAGCCAGAACCAAAAGAAAAGGAAGGAGAAGUUUUACUUAUUAACAAGGCCAUUUAAUUAUUUACAAAAAGUUGUCCUUGCAUAAAAAAAACAUUUCAUAAGAGCCUGCAUCACCUUCCUUUUUGCUUUCAUAAGUACAAGCAGCAUGCAAUAAAUUAGUGAUGGCGAAAUGAUCAUGAUUUAAUAAACUUUUUAAUCUUUCUCUGUGCUACAAUAAGUUUAAUUUAAGGAACAAAACUCACAGUCCAAGACUUUAAAAGUCAUAUGUAUUGCAAAUGGUACAAUACAGUUGAGGACCUGACGGUUGUGAUCACAGAUGCUAUGGGUAAACCUUAACAACUGAAAAGAUUAAUAGCAGUUAUAAUGAUUUCAACAAGUACAGCAGUGUUAGCAGCGCAUAAAGAUAUGCCAAAGGGAUAGGCAUUACUUCAACCAUUCUUCCCAAAGUUCAUUUUACCAUCAACUCUGAACUCUGGAGAGACAGAAGUGUGAUACAAACAGGGAUAUGUACAAUAAAUAAACAUGAAAGUGCAAAAUAGAAAAAGCUCAAAACUUUGAACAUGACUAGGAGCUGUGGAGAUGUAAUUACAUACUUGAUGAUGUUUCUGGAAGAGGUCUUUGUGAUUGAUACAAUUGCUUUUGUUGAUCAAUUACAUUCUGUGGUUGAAGCAAGGAACCUGGUCCUUGACUUGAUGCUUGGAGCCUUGGCUGCAUAUCUAGUUGUAAUGGAUUAGACUGUUGUUGCAAACCCAGCUGUUGUUGUAACUGUGUUGGCUGUGAUUGAAUCUGUGACAUCAAUUGCUGCUGUGGAAGCUGUGAUUGUGACUGCUGGCCUUGAGUUGGCAACAAAUUAAUUGCAGUUUCCUGCUGCAAUGGAACCUUGGGCUGUUGCAGCAUGCAUACAGAGUGCUGAUUAGUUUGCAUGCUUGAGUUGUCAGGCUGGGUUCCAAGCAAAUGCUGCUGUUGCUGAUGCUGUUGCUGCUGCUGCAGAUUUUGAUCGUUAUUGUGUUGCCCCAGUAAUCUCCGCUGCUGCUGCUGCAUGUCUCCAAAAUUGUAUUGUUGCCCAAUUAACUGAUUUUGCUGCAUACUAUACAUAUAUACCCUUAGUUGGCUUAUCAAUGCUCACAGUUUUUUCAUUAACCGCCAUGGGCUGCUCAGCAUUUACUUCAGUUGCUCUGCUGAACCUGGAGUUCAUUGCUACAGACACUAGAGUUGGAUUGCACUGGAUUGGCCACAUUAUCCUGAGCACGGAAACGGAAACAUGGACAUAGGGAAAGGUGGAAACGGACACGGAGAAACGGCAUUUUCAAAAAUAUAGGAAACGGAAACAUGGGGAAACGCGUCAAUAUCAUGGUUUCAAAUCACGGUCGUGGUUGCGGUCACGGUCACAGUCACGGGUAACGGAAACAGUCCUAUAACAGCUGUAACGUAACGGUAACGGCUUGGCGCAACACAAAUUUUUUGAAAAAUUCACAAAGUUCAUAAAAUGACUGUAUAUUGGUAGAUAUAAGUAAAACUAAGAUAC